rnacentral:rRNA from 1 species
UACGGAGGGUGCAAGCGUUAUCCGGAUUUACUGGGUUUAAAGGGUGUGUAGGCGGGCUAUUAAGUCAGUGGUGAAAUCUCCGAGCUCAACUUGGAAACUGCCAUUGAUACUAUUAGUCUUGAAUUUUGUUGAGGUAGGCGGGAAUAAGUCAUGUAGCGGUGAAAUGCUUAGAUAUGACUUAGAACACCAAUUGCGAAGGCA